GAUGAACGCUGGCGGCGUGCCUAAUACAUGCAAGUAGAACGCUGAAGGAGGAGCUUGCUCUUCUGGAUGAGUUGCGAACGGGUGAGUAACGCGUAGGUAACCUGCCUGGUAGCGGGGGAUAACUAUUGGAAACGAUAGCUAAUACCGCAUGACAACAGUUAUUGCAUGAUAACUGUUUAAAAGGGGCAACUGCUCCACUACCAGAUGGACCUGCGUUGUAUUAGCUAGUUGGUGAGGUAACGGCUCACCAAGGCGACGAUACAUAGCCGACCGGAGAGGGUGAUCGGCCACACUGGGACUGAGACACGGCCCAGACUCCUACGGGAGGCAGCAGUAGGGAAUCUUCGGCAAUAGACGGAAGUCUGACCGAGCAACGCCGCGGGAGUGAAGAAGGUUUUCGGAUCGUAAAGCUCUGUUGUAAGAGAAGAACGAGUGUGAGAGUGGAAAGUUCACACUGUGACGGUAUCUUACCAGAAAGGGACGGCUAACUACGUG
rnacentral:rRNA from 1 species